AAUGCAUCACCGCACACGGGGCUCGCGGGUCCGGGAGCGCGACGGAGACGAUGCCUGAGAUCAGAGUCACGCCCUUGGGUAGACGAUGAGCUGGAGAUCAAGGCCUACUAUGCAGGCCAUGUGCUGGGGGCAGCCAUGUUCCAGAUUAAAGUGGGCUCAGAGUCUGUGGUCUACACGGUCAGUGGAAGGGCUUGAGGCUUGGGAGGGGCUGCUGGGGUGGGAGGCACCCUUCUCAUGGCAUCCUUGAUCGUUCACCAGGGUGAUUAUAACAUGACCCCAGACCGACACUUGGGGUAAGUAGGCUGAGGUGUCUUUUUGUCCCGUGGGUCCCCCUGAAGCUCAGGACCCUUGCGGGUGUCAGGGUGCCAGCCCUUGAGCGGCCAGCCUGGCAGUGUCUCCCAUGUUCUGUGCGGCCUGGAGAGCCCCUUCGUUCUGGGCCCAGAUGUGCAAAGGCACAGGGUCCAGGCGGGGGCCUCUGUCUCUCCUCUCUCUUCCCAAGUGUCUAGGUGGG
rnacentral:sRNA from 1 species